GAUAGAUAGAUAGAUAGAUAGAUAGAUAGAUAGAUAGAUAAAUCUCUUUUAAAAAGAUUAAAACGAACUUCACCCAACUCAGAAUGGCACACAAUUUAGAACUGACAAAUUGUUUAUUUCUAUAAUUUUCCACUUAGUCUUCAAACCACAUGUGACUUCAGAUACUUGAAACCACAGAAGGGAGGGCAGUGAGAGAGAACUGUACCAAAGUAUAGGAAAGGUCAAUAAAUUGUAGGGCCAGCAAGAGAGGAUCUGGGACCAUUGCGUGACCCAAGCAUGAAGGUGAGGGGGAGAAGAGAGCCAGGAACACAAGCGAGAACUUGGCCUUUAACCUUCUGGUACUUUCUGUCCCCCACCCACCAGUCUUUUCCAGGAGCUUCUGGUCAUGCCCACCUGAGAACCAGACCAAAGGGCAAAGCAAACCUGGAAGACAACAGGAAAAUUCAUGCCAAUCUUAUCGACUGUUUACUGUGUUGUCACAUGGGACACAGAAGACAGCUAUCUGUGAACCAGAAAACAAAGACCAGAUGUGCCAGCACGUUGACCUUGAAUUUUCCAACCUCCCAACCAGUGAAAAGUAAGUCUCUGUUGUUUGUAAACCCCCAGCAUCUCAGAGAUGGGAUCUCUGUAAGUUGGAGACCAGCCUGGUCUAUAAGAGCUAGUUCCAUGACAGCCUCCAAAGCCACAGAGAAACCCUGUCUUGAAAACCAACCUCCCCCCAAAAAAAGACCUAUGUAAAUAUGAGUGGGAUCCAAAGCCCUCAAUGUUAUUCUGUCAAGAAUUUCAUGGCCUUUUAUGCAUUUACUGUUUAUUUUAUGAAAUUAUAGACUCCAAUAUUUAGUGAACAAAUAUUUAUAACUGUUAUAUCUUCUUUUUAAAUUUUAUUUUAUGGGUCUAGAGAGGUGGUUCAGUGGUUAAGAGCACUGGCUGCUCUUCCAAGGAACCUAAGUUCAAUUCCCAGAACCCACACAGUUGUUCACAGCCAUCUAUAACUCCAAUCCCAGAAGAUCUGAUACUCUCUUGUGGCCAUCUCAGGCAAUACAGACACACAAUGCACAGACAUGCAUUCAGGCAAACAAUAAAAACAAAUAUUAUUAAAGAUUUUGUAGGGGACUGGAGAGAUGGC